rnacentral:rRNA from 1 species
CGCGGCCUAUCAGCUUGUUGGUGAGGUAACGGCUCACCAAGACUAUGACGGGUAGCUGGUCUGAGAGGACGAUCAGCCACGCUGGGACUGAGACACGGCCCAGACUCCUACGGGAGGCAGCAGUGGGGAAUCUUGCGCAAUGGGCGAAAGCCUGACGCAGCAACGCCGCGUGGGGGACGACAGCUCUCGGGUUGUAAACCCCUUUCAGCAGGGACGAAAAUGACGGUACCUGCAGAAGAAGCUCCGGCCAACUACGUGCCAGCAGCCGCGGUAACACGUAGGGGGCGAGCGUUGUCCGGAAUUAUUGGGCGUAAAGAGCUCGUAGGUGGCUUGGUAAGUCGGGCGUGAAAUUUCAGGGCUCAACCCUGAAACGCCGUCCGAAACUGCCAUGGCUAGAGUCCGGUAGGGGAGCGUGGAAUUUCUAGUGUAGCGGUGAAAUGCGCAGAUAUUAGAAGGAACGCCAGCAGCGAAGGCGGCGCUCUGGGCCGGUACUGACACUGAGGAGCGAAAGUGUGGGGAGCAAACAGGAUUAGAUACCCUGGUAGUCCACACCGUAAACGUUGGGCACUAGGUGUGGGGCCUUUUCAACGGGUUCCGUGCCGAAGCUAACGCAUUAAGUGCCCCGCCUGGGGAGUACGG